rnacentral:rRNA from 1 species
AGUGAACGCUGGCGGUAGGCCUAACACAUGCAAGUCGAACGGCAGCACAGUAAGAGCUUGCUCUUACGGGUGGCGAGUGGCGGACGGGUGAGGAAUACAUCGGAAUCUACUUUUUCGUGGGGGAUAACGUAGGGAAACUUACGCUAAUACAGCAUACGACCUACGGGUGAAAGCAGGGGAUCUUCGGACCUUGCGCGAUUGAAUGAGCCGAUGUCGGAUUAGCUAGUUGGCGGGGUAAAGGCCCACCAAGGCGACGAUCCGUAGCUGGUCUGAGAGGAUGGUCCGCCACACUGGAACUGAGACAAGGCCCCGACUCCUACGGGAGGCAGCAGUGGGGAAUAUUGGACAAGGGGCGGAAGCCUGAUCCAACCCUACCGCGUGGGUGAAGAAGGCCUUCGGGUUGUAAAGCCCUUUUGUUGGGAAAGAAAAGCAGCAGGUUAAUACCCCGCUGUUCUGACGGUACCCAAAGAAUAAGCACCGGCUAACUUCGUG